AGCGUAGGCGGAAAGGUAAGUUAGAAGUGAAAUGUAUCGGCUCAACCGGUAACCUGCUUUUAAUACUGCUUUUCUUGAGUAUUGGAGAGGAUGAUGGAAUUCCAGGUGUAGCGGUGGAAUGCGUAGAUAUCUGGAAGAACACCAGUUGCGAAGGCGGUCAUCUGGCCAAAUACUGACGCUGAGGCUCGAAAGCUAGGGGAGCGAACAGGAUUAGAUACCCUGGUAGUCC
rnacentral:rRNA from 1 species